ACACGACUCUCGGCAACGGAUAUCUCGGCUCUCGCAUCGAUGAAGAACGUAGCGAAAUGCGAUACCUGGUGUGAAUUGCAGAAUCCCGCGAACCAUCGAGUCUUUGAACGCAAGUUGCGCCCGAGGCCUUCGGGCCGAGGGCACGCCUGCCUGGGCGUCACGC
rnacentral:rRNA from 5 species